rnacentral:rRNA from 1 species
UACGGAGGAUGCAAGCGUUAUCCGGAUUUAUUGGGUUUAAAGGGUGCGCAGGUUGUUUGAUAAGUCAGUGGUGAAAGUCUGUCGCUUAACGGUAGGAUUGCCAUUGAUACUAUUAGACUUGAAUAUGGAUGAGGUAGGCGGAAUGUGUAAUGUAGCGGUGAAAUGCAUAGAUAUUACACAGAACACCGAUUGCGAAGGCAGCUUACUAAUCCAUCAUUGACGCUGAGGCACGAAAGCGUGGGGAUCAAACAGGA